UACGUAGGGGGCAAGCGUUGUCCGGAUUUAUUGGGCGUAAAGAGCGUGUAGGCGGCCUGGUAGGUCAGCUGUGAAAACUCGAGGCUCAACCUCGAGACGUCGGUUGAAACCACCUGGCUAGAGUCCGGAAGAGGAGAGUGGAAUUCCCGGUGUAGCGGUGAAAUGCGCAGAUAUCAGGAAGAACACCCGUGGCUAAGGCGGCUCUCUAGUACGGUACUGACGCUGAGACGCGAAAGCGUGGGGAGCGAACAGG
rnacentral:rRNA from 1 species